GGAAUCUUGCGCAAUGGACGAAAGUCUGACGCAGCCACGCCGCGUGCAGGAAGACACCCCUCAGGGGCGUAAACUGCUUUUAUAUGGGAAGAACACCCUACUCGGUAGGGUCUGACGGUAACGUAUGAAUAAGGACCGGCUAACUCCGUGCCCGCCGCCGCGGUAAUACGGAGGGUACAAGCGUUGUCCGGAAUCACUGGGUGUAAAGGGUGUGUAGGCGGGCCUGCAAGUCAGAGGUGAAAGCCCCCGGCCUAACCGGGGAAUUGCCUUUGAGACUGCAGGUCUUGAGUCCUGGAGGGGUCACUAGAAUUCGUGGUGUAGCGGUGAAAUGCGUAGAUAUCACGAGGAAUACCAGAGGCGAAGGCGGGUGACUGGACAGGUACUGACGCUGAGGCACGAAAGCGUGGGGAGCAAA
rnacentral:rRNA from 1 species